UUUAUAUAUGAAUACUCUCUGUAUAAAGUAUACAGUAUAGCAUGUAUAUAUAGCUAUAUAUAUAUGAACUGUUCUAUAGUUAUAACCAUUUGUAUGUAUAAAGGAGGGUAUAUAUAUAUAUGUGUAGAUAUAUAGAUAUAGGGACUUCAGAUGAUGUACUGAGUGGAGCUGGAAUGGGAAGAGAAAUUCUUGGUGGAUCUAAACUGUUUAGUUUAUUACCACACUAGUGAGUGUUUUGCAGAGUAUCCAUGAAAUUGGACACGUAGCAGAGGAAAAAAGUCGUUGACUGUUUCCAUUCCUGACCUGAUCAGGACGCUAGGGAACUGUGAUUCGCUCCAGAGUAUCUUCUAUGUCUGCCCUCCGUUCAUGUGAUUUGUCUGCUCUUCAUUCAGCGAUAUGUAACGCAGAAAGUUUUUCCUCCAACCAUGGAAGACCUUCAGGAAAAAUAUAAAGAAUACUGAUCUACAUAUUCCAAUAAUCUUCCUGGAAAAAAUAUGGAAAAGGAAAAAAAACAGCAUUGCAGAAAAUAUAGAGGACUCUUCAUACCUGAACUCUUUGAAACGCAAGAAAACAAGUCUCAUAUAUUCAUUUUAAAGACAUGAAGAAGAAAGUGCAAAUACAUGAAGGAGGACUUGACGACAAGCAAAUGAUACAUGGACAUGCCCUGUGGAAAGCAAGACAUCCAAAUGAAGAUCUUCAGCAAUUAUUUCACUUGACUGAAGAGUCUCCUGAACAUUCGCUUUCCAGCAGUAACUGAGUGAAAUCAGUAGAAAUUCUGAGUGUGAGCAGCUGCUGCAGAAGGCAGUGGGAGUUAUGGAGAUUCAGCAUCCAUCGCCACUCAGUAAACAGCCUGCUUCUGGAUCAGCUGAAUUCCUUCUUGACAAUAACACACCAAACCAUGCCCAUAAAUCUAAAAUGUGGAGCAGACAGUGGAGUCAUUUCUUUAAUAUAUAGUUUUUAAAAGUCAAGACACGAAAUAUGGUGGACAGAAUGGCUGCAAAGUCCCUAGCUAUGCCAGUUGUCUUCACUGAGAAUGAUGAAAGAAGUCCCCAAAAUAAGCAGCCACAAGACCAGAAGAGAAAAGAUUCUGGAAGGAAGAGCAAAGCCCUAGACCAUGAUAGAAGAGUCAUCUGGCUGCAAGGAAGUGCUGGUGCCUGAUCUUCCACACAACCAAAUCACAGGAGAUACGAAGGACGUGAACGUAAAAUACCAUUAGGACCUUUGUUAAACAAAGGCUUUUUAAUUUUUCACCAGACAGAAAUGCACAUCAUCAUCUACAAGCAAACCUGAAUCCCUUCAGUGGAUUUAUGAACUGUUGUGUUAUACAGCAGUAAUAAAGCAGAACCUGGGCAUUAAAUAAAUAAAUGAAAAUUGGACAGUAUAAGCCUGAGGAUACAAUGUUCCAGUACUGAAGAAGCCAAGAAAAACUCUUAUUGACUUCAACAAGCUCUAGAUCUGACCUUUGGCCUAUGCUAUGCAAUACUUUUGCAUGUGAUUACUGGAUACAGAGGGUACUAGCCUACAAAUACUCACCAUCCUAGAAGAAAGUUUGGAUCGUGAGCAUUUUUCUAAAAAACAAUGCUAUAUCGGGGGAUCAGCUGACACAACAAAUAGCAAUCCAGAGGCACCUUCAGAAACUUGGGGAUUGGAUGGCCAGAAGUCUUCUUCAGCAAGUGUAAGACUGAACAAUCCCACACACUGGGAAAGACUGGGAGCUGACUGACUGAGGACCAGCCCUGCUGAAAACACCCAGGGGAUUACAGUGGAGGCCAAUUAAAACAUGAGCCAGCGGCAUGCUCUCAAUGCAAAUAAAUCAAACAGCAUUAUGGCUAUAUUAGGAGUGUGGCCAGCAGAUCAAGUCUCUGCUUGAUGCCUGGUAAGAACCUGCACAUCCCCAAAUUCUUAACCUGGCUCUGGAUGUCCCAGGUUGACACUGAGAAACUGGAGAAAGUGUAGGACAGGGCUCCAAAGAUGAGCCUGUCCCCAGAGCAUGUGAUGUGCAAAAGUGAGGCUGGGGGAUGAGGUCUUCCUCAUUCUGCCGAAGAGAAGGAUGAAAAGUGACUGAAUAGUGGCCCUGCAGCUACCUAAAGUGAAGACACAAAGACUAUGGAGGCUUCAAGAUGUAACUACAUAAAAUCACAGUUGACCCGGUUAUAGCACUGGCCUUAUUCAAAAUCCUUACAACCUUUAUUCAAAAUCUUUCCAAAUGACAGUUUUGUUUUCCUUCUACAAGACUGUGAAUCCGUUCAUAUUUCAGCUCCAACACUUCCACUGUUUCUACUAUAGGCUUCCUAACAGAGCAUCCAAGUAGGACAUCCUUAUUAUAGACAAGCACCCUUUUUUUCUACAGUGUUGGCCUCAGUCAUGGAUAAGAAAAUAUAUGCUAUUUGUUUGCCUUCGUACUUCAGAGUUCAUGAUAGAACUCAACUAAGCAGUUGGCACUUAUUUCCUGUGUCCCUAUGUGGGUCAAAAGCAGCCUUCUACAAUCCGUUCACUUGUAAGUCUUGCAUGGGAAUCUGUUUUAAUGAAUUAGUGUUUAUAAAUCCCUCUGAAGAGGAAUCUUUUAAUGCUAGAGCCCAGGACUGUUAAUUUCACCCAUGGCCAGUGCAUCUACCUUUUCCCUCAAAUGAAUGGGAGGUCAGAUUUCUUCAGACCUGUGUCUGAUCCCAUGAUGCACUGAAGUGACUACAGCCUUCUGAGAAUGCAACUCCUAAUUCUCUGGUGCCACAAAUUCUUCAGCACACUGAACAUCUGCAGCUUUUUUUGGCUUCCACAGUUGUGAGUCAUGGCAGCCCCCAAAACUCUAUGCAGACCUUUAACCAUUAAUUCUACUAAACCAGGACAAGAAUCUAAAAACAAGACUUCUUCAAGGCAUCUCAGAUAUGAAGGCACUAUGGACAUCAUUUUAUUACCCAUCACUUUAUUGCCCAUUAUCCUAUGGUCGUUUAUGCUCAAGUAGGACACAAAAGCUACAUUUUAGGCCCAGUUACCAUUUAAAUCAAAUUUGCAGCAACUUUAUGCAUAAUACAGGGUAAUGGAACUGAGGCCAUAAUCUGACUACACAGAGGCUUCGACAGCAAAGCUUGUUUCAACGGAUUACCUUUUCUAAAUGCUCUGCAACCAGGUCAGUUAAAGCACUGCAAGGCAAUGCCAUUUGAAUCUACAACAUGCACUUAAAAAUGUUAUUUGAUAGUUUGCUGUAUUACGUUUAAAGAUGCUAUGUCUCAGCACAGGAAAAAACAAGCUCUAUUUUCAUUAAAUUAAUGCAGUUUUAGAAGUUCUGCAUUGAACAUGCAGACCUUUCACAUCAGAGCAACCAGACUUCUUUGUCUGAUGGCUUAACAUUACCUGUAGGUUGUAUGAGAUGAAGCAGCAGAAACAUCUCUAAUGAAAAGAUUCAAAUGAUAUGCUGACUUUGGGGACAAAUUAGUUCCAUAGGUACAGAGUGGAAUAAUACUAAACUGACAUAAACAAGCAGAAUUUGCCUUCUAUACUUGGACUUGCAUCCUUAAGAUAUUAAAAAUGAACACUGAAGUUCAACACAUGCUUUGUGAUCAAAGAGUAAGAGUGGUACAAGAGUGGUACAAAAGUGGUACUGUUAUAUGAAUACAAUAAUCACCUAUUCUGAAUGUUCUCUGCAAGUCCAACCACCAAAUGUUUAAACAAAAAUUGCUGCUGUAUUUUCAUUCUGAACUGUUGGCCAAAAUCAGAAGGGGCCUCUUUUGACACAGUGGCUGCUUUUGCAAGAAGGAGUCUGGGGAGAAAUAAUGAGGAAAUAUCAGGAGGGAGCUUGCAAGAUUUCCCAAAUUUUCAAUUUUGAUAUCUGAUAUUUGAUCUAAAAGUUAAAUCUCUGCAACCCCAAAUGCAGUCCAAACUUAAUCUGCAUCCACGCUCCUCAGCGUAUUUCUGAUUGUAAGAAAUGUAUUUCCGAUAACAGUGAAAAUAAUAAUAAUAAUAACAAUCUCAUCCACUUAUUUUUAAGAUACAAAAAGGGUCCAACAGAAAAGGCCGUUUCUCAGACAACCUGCCAAACUUCAGUCAUUUUGUAAAAUGUGCCUAUUAAUCAGCUUUCAGAAAAAGUUCUCUGUGUACAGCCAAAGUUCUGUUUUGUUGAUGACCAUUUCUGAUUUUAGAAAAGCAAGCAGUUUAAAAGUUGCUGAAGUGUGCUGGCUUCUGACUGACACCUUGUUUGUUGUGAUGCCUGAGUGCAGUGAACUGUUCAGAAUCUGAGUAUGCUAAAAGUAAUCCAGAAGCUCACAUCUGUUGCUUUUUAUCACAAGAGCUAUCUAGUAUCAGAAAGACAACCUCAUAAACGUUUUGAAAAAGAAAACUACAAGAAAAAGCAAAACAAAACAGGCCUCCCUUGCUAACAUAAAGUGCUGUAUUAUCUAGGGCAUUUUUUCCCCCAGUCAUCUGUUUUGAACUGGGUACAGGCACAGAACUCAAAUUUUACAUUCACAGAAGAACUCUUUCAGAGACUGUACAAGAAAUCUGAAAUUCUACCUUAUUCUUAACAGUCAGAAACAGAAACUGUGAUGCCUUCACUCCCCUUGUAAAAGGAGAAGUUACAGCCUUCAUAAAGAUAAACAAGUACUUCAGAUCAUUUCUGGGAUGAUGAUGCAUUCUGAAGAAGUGCAUUGAAUUGUUUUUUGUUCCUCCUACAGCAUUCUUGCCUGUGAAACAGUCUCAAAGAAUCCUUCGCUAAACCCCAUCCUCCACCUGAAAAUUCGUGUUUGUGGAAUGACUGCUGCCUGAAAACAGUAAAACCUGCCUGGCCACAAGGAGUUCAUGACAGAGCAUGCAGGUUGUGGUUUUGGAGGUUAAAAGAUGAAAACUGACCAGAGAAAGGGGCUAUUCAUCAGGAAAUGGAGGCAUGACAUCAGCAACUGAAAAGUAAAAACCUGAAAUUGUUCUUAUAAAAAUAGAAGCAUAGCACACGUCUCAAGUACUCAGUGUUUUGCUACUAGGAGCACUUCAGCAACUUGUCUCGCAAAGCUAAGAAAUGAACGUUGUUAAAACUGUGCCAUUCUGUGUACGUGACUUCAAAAACUACAUAAGUACGAGCAACAAAAGUGACAAUUUUGAGAAGCCACAGUCCUCCAGGAGGAAAUGACUGCCAUGAGAAUGACUUCAGAGGAAUACACACUUGGGGCUGAAGUGGCAGCAGAGAUUUCUAUACAGCAAAGAUAAUGCAGAUCCAUAUAUACAAAAAUAUUUUUAGUGGCAGAAAUCUUUUGACUGGCAUUAAAAUAUACUUACUUGGCUUUCCAUUUUAUAUCACCAGUAUACAGAUCAGCUAAUACUAAGCCUGCAUUUUUGAACACAGAAUAGAGUUCACAUUUAACUGUAAGGCAUCACCGCACUCUGCUACAAAUGCCUAUUUGUUGAGCAUGAUUUAUGGAAUGUAGUGCAAGCCAUAGGAAGAACAAAUUAAACACUGCAAAUAUUCAUUCUCACUUCAAUUCUAAGGAUUUGCAGCUGUUAUGCGACACAGUACCCAAAAGAAUGCUAUAAGCAGAAUGCGGGAAGCUAUCGCAUUGAUUGUAUGAGCUAGAACAUAGAUCUUGAACAGCAGAAGGCAUAGUUAGCUGCUAGCCAAGGUGAAACUGAUUUCAGUCUUUGCUCUUUGGAGCAACAAGAGCUACUGCAGAGGCUGUAGUUUGCCUGGAUUCUUAUUAAGGGCAAGUGGGCCAGGCCCCAGUAUGCGAAGGAGUGGGCACAAGUAACCUCUGAUCAGUUACAGACGGGCAGUGACAGAUUCUAGAGAAAAAUUCAGUCUUCCUGAAAACAUUUUAAUGACUCUUACUUAUAUAGCAAGCUG